UACGGGGGGGGCAAGCGUUGUUCGGAAUUACUGGGCGUAAAGGGCUCGUAGGUGGUCAACUAAGUCGGACGUGAAAUCCCUCGGCUUAACCGGGGAACUGCGUCCGAUACUGGAUGACUUGAGUUCGGGAGAGGGAUGCGGAAUUCCAGGUGUAGCGGUGAAAUGCGUAGAUAUCUGGAGGAACACCGGUGGCGAAGGCGGCGUCACUGGUCCAUUACGUGACGCUGAGGUGCGAAAGCGUGGGGAGCAAACAGG
rnacentral:rRNA from 1 species